UGUGACUCAUCUUCCAUUCCCUGGUGUAUUUCUAAUGUGUACCCAUAGUGUGAGUCCAUGGAGGCUGCCAGGUUUUUGUAAUCCCUCUUCUACCCCUACCCUCAACCUCCCAGGCAGCCUGAGAUCUGACAAAGAGAAGUUAAAAAACGCAAAUAUUCCAAAUCAGUGACUGGAAAAAGUGAUAUCACAAGCGAAACAAGAAUCCAGUCCAUAGGCCAAGACUGCUAUCUCUCUCUCUUUUUUUUUUUUUUUUUUGAGAUAGAGUCUCGCUCUGUUGCCCAGGCUGGAAUGCAGUGGCGCGAUAUUGGCUGACUGCAAGCUCCGCCUCCCGGGUUCACGCCAUUCUCCUGAGUAGAGUAGCUGGGACUACAGGCGACCGCCACCACACCCAGCUAAUUUUUUUGUAUUUUUUUUAGUAGAGACGGGGUUUCACCGUGUUGGCCUGGAUGGUCUCGAGCUCCUGACCUAGCUACCUGCCUGCCUCAGCCUCCCAAAGUGCUGGGAUUACAGGGGUGAGCCACCACGCCCGGCCCAAGUCUGCUAUCUCUAUUCCAACAAGAAAUUGCCACAGCUGCUCUGACCUCCAGCGACCACCACCCUGAUCAAUCAGCAGCCUUUAGCACUGAGGCCACACUAUCCACCAGCAAAGAUAUUAGAUUAAGACUCACUGAGGCUCAGAUGAUCAGUAGCAUUUUUCAUCUGCAUCUUGUUAUUGUGCCGCGAGAAAUAGCAGCCUGACCCUCAGUUUGAUCCGGGAUAAAAAUUUGGCACACAAGCCAGGAAUUAAGGACAGUGCUGCAUUCAGCGGCUGGCAACUUGCUAUGAGACAGUCUUCAGGAGGAUCCCAGAAGCUGCUGGAGUCAAGGAAGCUUUUCUUUUGUGCUAUUAACAGAUUUUAACAAUUAAGUAAAGUAUACUCCUAUGAACAAAAUUUGGAGCAUAUUUGUUUCUCUCUGCCUUGUCCCUCUAGAAUUUGGAAACUAUCUCAGGAUACAACUGGAAACAUUGGUUAUAUUACCAAGGCUUUGACUGAAACAUCAUAUUUAAAAAUGUGGAUAGAAUGCCUAAUUUCAAGAGUUUUCAGGCCAAUAUUUAUGAAUCCUGUCGCUGUACUUGAGCCAGCCAAUUAAGAGUCAGCUUGUUGACACACGUUAAAUAUGUGGUAAUAAAGAAAUGAGAAGAAAAUAGUUUGCACAGUCCGAGUCAAUUCUCAUAUUUCAAAAGAGAAACAAAGAAUGCAACUGGCAAUACGUAAUCCGAAUCCUCCCAUCUUAGCUUCUCAAAUAAAAGCAGAUAGCUGUCAAUAAUUUUGGAAGUGACUUCUGGUCCCUCACCUGGCUCUGACUUCAUCCCUGGUACGGAUUCACUCUCUGCUCAAUCCUCCAACUCAACGCAUGAUGGACCAAAUAGUUAUCAUUCUCCAUUUUCAACUCCUUAUCUCCAUCCACUCCAUAGGGCAUCCAGAAACUGAUAUAGCCCUGCUCCCCAACCCCAGUCUGAGCUUGUAAAAAGCCCCAUGGGAUGACAUACUUGAAGGGCCUCAAUGGUAACAGCUAAUAUGGAUUCAAUUAAAUUGCACUGUGUACAACUCCUGGAGUCCAUGCAGCAGUCCUAGUACAAAGUCUAACACCAACAACUUUGACCCCAGAACCAAUGCAAUGAAGACCCACAGAGAUCUGCAUUGCCACAUCCUCAACAACCAAUAUUCCGUCCAGGCUAUGACUGGCUCUAGAUGAACCUAAGUGCCUUUCGCCAUAGUCAUCUCUCCAGGGGAAAGCUGGGGCCAGUUGUCUUCUCAAUUCCAUAGCUCACCAUGCCUCACACUUCUGGUAUCUUCACUUGUCUUCUGACACCUAAGCCCCUCCCUGGUUUAAUCUCUUUUGUACCUUCAUCACGAUCACUGCUCUGUAAUUCCACUCUUGUGCCCUCCCUAACAAUCCUUUCCAGAGGACUUUCCUCACUUUCAGUCACCCCCAGACAUGCCCAAAACUGUUUUACCUAGAAUAGUUCCAGAUUUAAAAGAUUAAAUUCAGUCACCCCACUCUCUGAAUACAAACUUUUACUUUUCACUCUUAAAUUUCCCUCACUCAGUUACUCUCCUUAUGCCAACUCUUUGUCUUAACCAGAUCUGUCAUCCAAUGACCCUCUCAACUUUCUCUCAGUUAGCGCCUUUCUACUGUCACUUCUUUCCCUACCUGGAAUCUACUCUAAACAUUGUAAAAUGCAGUACACCUUUUUGAGCAAUCUCAUUCAUUUCCAUUGGGUAAGACAAUACCAAAUAUUCUUUCUCCAGCCGAGAUUCCCCCCUUGAAACUCUCAAUCCCCC
rnacentral:lncRNA from 10 species